rnacentral:rRNA from 1 species
UACAGAGGUCUCAAGCGUUGUUCGGAUUCAUUGGGCGUAAAGGGUGCGUAGGCGGCCAGGUAGGUCUGCUGUGAAAACUCGAGGCUUAACCUCGAGAUGUCGGCGGAAACCAUCUGGCUAGAGUCCGGAAGAGGAGAGUGGAAUUCCUGGUGUAGCGGUGAAAUGCGCAGAUAUCAGGAAGAACACCCGUGGCGAAGGCGGCUCUCUGGGACGGUACUGACGCUGAGACGCGAAAGCGUGGGGAGCGAACAGG